AUAACCUCACUCCCACCCGGGAUGGGAAGCUAGGCUUGGGCCCGACUGCCUCCUGGUAGACUUCUUAUCCCCUGGCCCCCUGCCACCAGCACUUUCUUCCUCCAAAUCUCCUGAACACAGAAGUCCCCUCUCUUUCCUCCUCCCUUCACUCUCUAGAUCUUGGGUCGAGCAAAAAUUCUCUACCCAGAAUUCCAAGCCUUGAAGAACGCCAUGGCAAGCCCAUGGGCUCUCCUCGCCAUCAAACCUACGGCCCCCUUGCUUGACCCAGCUUUGUUCUAGUAUCUGCUCCAGGAGGUCUUGUCUCUCUAACCCGGAUCUAGCUGCGUGUGGAAGAGACGGCCCGGAUGGAGGCUUGGUCCUGGCCCUGCCCCUGCCCAGCUGAGACGGCCCUCUCUCUUCUUGGGCUCUUACAUCUUUACCUGUAGGAUCAGGGGGGUGAACUAAAUGGUCUCUCAGGCUGAGUGGAAUUUUAUGGCCCCUUCUGACCUUCCCACUAGAUGCAUGGGACUGGUCGCUUAACCUCUGUGUACCUCAGUUUCCUCAUCUGUAAAAUAUGAGCAGCAGCAGAAGGAUGAGCAGACCCGUGAUGAGCGUCAAGCAGAUCCAGACGAUGGUCCUGGUGUCAUAGCGGAGCCCUGCUACGGAGGCAGGAGACAGAGUCAGCUCGGGGGAGAAGGCUGAUUCAGCUGAGCCCAUCCAGCUGCCAUCUCCAAGGACCCCUGGGCUGUUUCCUUGGGAGCAAGCCUUCUCCCCUCGCCCAUUAGGGGCUCUAAAGCCCCCAGGAAGAGG